CAGUUGAGAGAGUUGGUGUCUUUUGUUGAGGUGCGAGGACCCGAGGCGGCGACCCUCGCCUUUAUUCGGAGAAGCCCACUUCCACCCACAGAGUUGGGGUAGUCCUCCGAAAUGCAUUUUUGUUUUGCCGUUUGUUUUCCAACCCCCUUUCACUCUCCCCAAAGCUUCAGAUUCACUGAUUUUUCAUACAGGAAUGAUUAACAAAGGCGUCCGAAGAAAUCGUUGUUGGAAGGUGACCAAGGUGGAAAGAGACGUUGCUUUGGCCCUGCAAGUAAGAAGAGAGAGGGAAUAGCCUGAAGGAGUAACACUAAAUUUAAAAUGACACUUUUUUACCAACCAGCGAAAGCAGAUGUUCAAAGGGGAUAUUGGCCAGAGUCUGUCACACUAAGAUGAGAAAUGUCCUUUCUUCCUGAAGGUGUCUGAUGUGUAAAAAUAUGAUAUACUUUGUGCUGUUUCCUCCCUUCCCUUUUGCAUAUUAUUCUGAAACAACAUUAACUAGUUACUUUGCGUCAUUGAAGAACUCACUUUGAGGCCAAGC
rnacentral:lncRNA from 1 species